rnacentral:lncRNA from 1 species
UACACGUGAACCUUUAAUAUUUACAACCUGAUUCCAAGGCCGUCCCCAUACCCCGUCCGAUAUGGGCACCAAAACCAUGAACCUCAAUACCCCGUUCGGUAUGAGGGUGAAAUGGGCCGUCCCCAUACCCCGUCCGGUAUGGGCACCAAAACACAUAAGGUCUCCAUACCCCGUCCGGUAUGAGAGACCACGCUCCCGGUAGGGUUCUCUACGGACCUGGUCCAUCCACCAUCUCCUAGGAUAUCUAGUCAGGCUGUCUACAUUAUCCAU